rnacentral:siRNA from 1 species
GGUGGGAUCCACGGCGAAUGGUUC